ACUUGAUCUAACUUCAAAUUAGUUGAUUUUUGUGGUUGUUUAUGAUUUAUAGCAAGCUCCUAGACAAAAUUUAACUACUCAGAUUAACCAUGAAUUUGUGUAUGUUACCUUGUGGUUUCACCAUGGAGAAAAAUUACAACAAAAACUCUGUAAUAAGUAUCAUGGAGCCUAGAAUGCCUAUGAACUCCUCCAUAGUGGCUGGACAUCUUGGACAUCACAAACCAACAUAAGGUGUGAAAUAGAAUGGAAAAAAAGUUGUGACCUAACAAGGACUUGAAGACACAAGAGCACAAAAAAGAAUGAGGACAAGGUCAAAUGUUGCUAUAAUGGAUCACCUAAGCCAAUCAAGUUCAAUAACUUUUUAGUAGAAUCCUGAUUCGAUUUUGUGUAUUGAUGGCAUGUACUGAAACAAUAGUGACUUUAACUUAGCUAGUGGUUAA